rnacentral:rRNA from 1 species
UACGGGGGGGGGCAAGCGUUGUUCGGAAUUAUUGGGCGUAAAGAGCUCGUAGGCGGUCUGUCGCGUCUGCUGUGAAAACCUAGGGCUUAACUCUGGGCGUGCAGUGGGUACGGGCAGGCUAGAGUGCGGUAGGGGAGACUGGAAUUCCUGGUGUAGCGGUGAAAUGCGCAGAUAUCAGGAGGAACACCGGUGGCGAAGGCGGGUCUCUGGGCCGUAACUGACGCUGAGGAGCGAAAGCAUGGGGAGCGAACAGG